CCCAACUAUCCCUAUUAAUCAUUACAACGGUCCUAGAAACCAACAAAAUAGAAUCAUUGUCCUAUUCUAUUAUUCCAUGCUAAUGUAUUCCGGCAUAUGCCUGCUUUAAACACUCUAAUUUUUUCAAGGUAAAGGUCUUGGAUAUUCGCAACAUCCAAUAAAGGACAUUACGCUUCCCCAAGCGGUGAGGCCCAACCGACCAGUACUCGUUACAAGAACGGACCAAUCGGCCAAACCCAAAAUUCAACUACGAGCUUUUUAACUGCAACAACUUUAAUAUACGCUAUUGGAGCUGGAAUUACCGCGGCUGCUGGCACCAGACUUGCCCUCCAA
rnacentral:misc_RNA from 2 species